rnacentral:rRNA from 1 species
AUGGAAGUCUCGGCCAUGGAGGAAGCCGCCGUUCGUGUCCCUGUCCCUGCGGCGAGGAGGAAGGGCGGCCUCAGAACCAUACCGUUCAUCAUCUCGAACGAGAUCUUCGAGAAGGUGGCGACGUACGGGCUGCAAGCGAACAUGGUCGUAUACCUCACCAAGCGGUACAACAUGACGCCGGCCGCCAGCGCCAUGGUGCUCUACCUUUGGUCCGCCCUCACCAACUUCCUGCCCAUCGGCGGCGGCGUGUUGUCGGACGUUUUCUUCGGCCGGUUCCCGGUCAUCGCCGUGGGAUGCGUCGUCAGCCUCUCGGGGAUGUGCCUGCUAUUGGUGACUGCGAUCCUGCCGGUGUACAAGAAGACUCUGGGGUGCGACCCGGCCAACCCGAGCGCGUGCACGAUGCUGCCGUGCCAGCUGCCGCUACUGUUCACGUCGUUCAUGCUCAUGUCGCUCGGGGCGGGCGGCAUCCGGCCGUGCGCGCUGGCGUUCGGAGCGGACCAGCUGGACAAGCGGGACAACAGCACCAAGAACGUGAGGAGGCUGCAGACCUUCUUCAACUGGUACUACACCGUGCUGGGGCUCUCCCUCGUCGUUGCCGUCCUCGUCAUCGUCUACAUACAGGACCACAUGGGGUGGGUCGUCGGCUUCUCCGUGCCCGUCGUGCUCAUGCUCGCCGCUCUCAUGCUCUUCCUGGCCGGCUCGCCUUUGUACCUCAAGGCGGAGGCCGACAGGAGCGUGCUGGUGGGCAUCGUGCAGGUGCUCGUCGCCAGCUACAAGAACCGGCGCGAGCUGUUGCCGCCGGACACGGCCGAAGCGUCGUGCUUUCACAACAAAGCUGGCUCCAGGCCCAGAGUUCCCACCAAGAAGAUGGUGUCUAUGAACCGGGCGUGCGUGCUCAGGAACCCGAGCAAGGAGCUCAACAGCGACGGGUCGGCGUGUGACCCGUGGCGGCUGUGCACGGUGCAGCAGGUGGAGGACGCCAAGGCCGUCAUCCGCGUGCUGCCGAUAUGGUCCACGGGGAUCAUACCGGGCGUGAUCGUCGCCCAGGUGAUGUUCCCCGUGCUGCAAGCAGGUACGAUGGAUCGGCAGAUGGGCAAGGUGGAGGUCCCCGCCGCAUCCUACAGCGUCUUCGGCAUCAUCACGCUCACCGUCUGGGUGGCCUUGUACGACCGCGUGCUUGUGCGGCCCCUCUCGCGGCUCACCGGCCACGCGCGCGGGCUCAGCCUGCGACAGCGCAUGGGAGCCGGGCUGGCGGUCUUCGCCGUGGCCAUGGCUGUGGCCGCGCGAACCGAGGCCCUCCGCCGCGGCGCGGCCAUCGCGGAGGGCUUCCAGGACCAAAAGCAUGCGGUGGUACACAUGUCGGCGAUGCGGCUUGUGCCGCAGCACUGCCUCAUCGGGCUCGCCGACGCGUUGAACCUGAUCGGGCAGAUCGAGUUCUACUACUCCGAGUUCCCCAAGACCAUGUCCAGCAUCGGGGUGUCGCUGCUCGCCCUCGGCGUGGGCUUCGGCGCCGUGCUGGGGAGCGCCAUCGUGGGGAUCAUGAACAGCGCCACCGGGAGGGACGGGCGCGACAGCUGGUUGUCCAGCAACCUCAACAGGGGCCGCUACGACUACUACUAUCUGGUUCUCGCGGCGCUGUCCGUGGCCAACUUGGUGUACUUCAUCUGGUGCAGCUGGGCGUACGGCGAGGAAGGGCAGAUCAGAAUUAUGGCGUUGGCGGCUGAGGAGGCGGAGGAGGAAGAGACCAAACAAGAACAGCACAAAUGA